AACGAACGCUGGCGGCAUGCCUAACACAUGCAAGUCGAACGAGACCUUCGGGUCUAGUGGCGCACGGGUGCGUAACGCGUGGGAACCUGCCUUUAGGUUCGGAAUAACUCAGAGAAAUUUGAGCUAAUACCGGAUGAUGUCUCCGGACCAAAGAUUUAUCGCCUUUAGAUGGGCCCGCGUUGGAUUAGCUAGUUGGUGGGGUAAAGGCCUACCAAGGCGACGAUCCAUAGCUGGUCUGAGAGGAUGAUCAGCCACACUGGGACUGAGACACGGCCCAGACUCCUACGGGAGGCAGCAGUGGGGAAUAUUGGACAAUGGGCGAAAGCCUGAUCCAGCAAUGCCGCGUGAGUGAUGAAGGCCUUAGGGUAGUAAAGCUCUUUUACCCGAGAUGAUAAUGACAGUAUCGGGAGAAUAAGCUCCGGCUAACUCCGUG
rnacentral:rRNA from 1 species